rnacentral:rRNA from 5 species
GUGACUGCGUACCUUUUGUAUAAUGGGUCAGCGACUUAUAUUCUGUAGCAAGGUUAACCGAAUAGGGGAGCCGGAGGGAAACCGAGUCUUAACCGGGCGUUAAGUUGCAGGGUAUAGACCCGAAACCCGGUGAUCUAGCCAUGGGCAGGUUGAAGGUUGGGUAACACUAACUGGAGGACCGAACCGACUAAUGUUGAAAAAUUAGCGGAUGACCUGUGGCU